rnacentral:tRNA from 2 species
CGGGGUGUAGCGUAGUCCGGUUAGCGCGCCUGCUUUGGGAGCAGGAGGUCGGGAGUUCGAAUCUCUCCACCCCGA